UACAGAGGUCUCAAGCGUUGUUCGGAUUCAUUGGGCGUAAAGGGUGUGUAGGUGGCGCGCUAAGUCGGGUGUGAAAUUUCGGAGCUUAACUCCGAAACUGCAUUCGAUACUGGCGUGCUUGAGGACUGGAGAGGAGACUGGAAUUCAUGGUGUAGCAGUGAAAUGCGUAGAGAUCAUGAGGAAGACCAGUGGCGAAGGCGGGUCUCUGGACAGUUCCUGACACUGAGACACGAAGGCCAGGGGAGCAAACAGGG
rnacentral:rRNA from 1 species